CCAUUUCGUGUAUUGGUAAGACACGGCUCAAGUGGUCCACACGCUCGAGUAUUUCUAAACUCGGCUUUGAAUCGUGCCAAGAUUUCAAAACCAGCGGCGUCUUGUUAUUUUACAGCAAGGAAGUCCCAAGAAUAUUUUUGUUCGUGGCCCCAAGGUUGGUUACGCCGAGAAAAUGAACUACGGAAGGCCGCCGCCAGACGUGGAGGGGAUGACCUCCCUUAAAGUGGACAACCUGACUUACCGGACCUCGCCGGAGACGCUGCGCCGCGUAUUUGAGAAGUACGGUCGCGUGGGGGACGUGUACAUCCCGCGGGACCGGUACACCAAGGAGAGCCGCGGCUUCGCCUUCGUGCGCUUCUUGGACAAGCGCGACGCCGAGGACGCCAUGGAUGCUAUGGACGGAGCGCUGCUCGACGGACGGGAGCUGCGCGUGCAGAUGGCCCGCUACGGUCGGCCGCCUGACUCCAUGUACAGCCGGAGAGGACCUCAACAGCGACGACGUUCAGCGAGCCCCCGUCGUCGCAGACGCAGCCGUUCCAGGAGCAGGAGCCGCUCCCGAUCCAGGAGUCGCCGUCGCUACUCCCGAUCCAGGUCCCGCUCCUACUCCCGAUCCAGGUCCCGCUCAAAGUCCAAAUCCAAGUCCCGAACCCCACGGCGGAGCAAGUCCAAGUCCCCCUCUCGGUCCCGGUCCAGAUCAAGGAGCCGGAGCCCUGCCUCUAAUCACGGGUCCAGAUCCAGGUCCAAGUCCAAGAGCCGGCCCAAGUCUCCAGAGGACAACGGAACAGAGCCAUAGCUCAAAGUUGGACGCAACAUGACGGUAUUUAGUGGGAUGGGUGGAAUAUCAUGAAUACAUGUUAAAUGUUUAGUAUUCUGCUUUCUUGAGGUUGCUCUUUUAAAUUUUGCACAAGCAACAAAGUCAGCAGAACCAUCUCUAUUUUAGUACUGCAAUAACCAAGAAUAAUUUGGCUCUCAAGCAUGCGUGUUGUGACGAUAAACAAUUUCAAACACGCACAAUAGAGGGUUUGAAUUGGGCUAAUGUGAGUAUAUAUGGGUGUGCUUCACUCCAUAUGUUCACUUAAUGUGAAAUUCUUUCCUCCAAGCUGCUGAAUCCUGUUUGCAAAGAGAGGAGGAGGAGAUGGGGGUGUGGCAGUGUGAGAGCAGUUAUAGUGUGUGAGCCGCCCAGGUCAGCUGCCCGUUGCUGGGGGGGUGACGGCGGUUGCUCGGGAGCAGGUCACCCAGGCAACGCUUGGUUGCUCAGGAGCAGGUCGUCAUGGCGGUGGUGCUGGGCUGUCAGUUGGUGUUUGAGGCGGUGUGGUGAGGUACGUUCACGGGGAUUGCGGGCGGACCCCCACCCGCCGCCUGCGCUUUGCCCUCCCGCCUCUCAACCCAAAGAUCUCUCGGGCGAUUGCUUCUUUUUGCCGAGGACAUCAGGACGAGUCUCACCAUGUUCAAGAGACUCCACUAUUGCCACUGAAAGCAGACUGAAAGGUUAUUUGGAACUUGGUCUAAACAUUUUCUAAAUAGCUAGUUUUGCUUGUGCUACCGAAAUAAACGUCAUGUUGGUCGUUCACAAAGUUGGGCAUCUUCAAGUAAAUAUGUGAUUUUGUUUGUUUUUUGUUUCGUUUGAUUCCCCUUUUAAGUGACUUUAUUUUUGAAUUUGUACUCUUAAAUAAAACUAUUGAUUUAUUUUGAUUCAUGGAAGACCUUGUUAUACUCUUUGUCUUGGCAGGAGGUUGUCAAUUACAAAUAUCGGUUUGUUACCCCACUCAAUUGGACAAACAUGCUGUAUGUUAAUCAGCCUGGGUUCAUUCGUCUUUGACGUUUUUUUUCUGUCAGCUCUUUCUGUCUGGUUAAAUUGCUUCCUAUGACUCUAACCCUCUUUCUUGUGUAUCUUUUGUGCACUAGGCGCAGUUGUGUAGCAGUUGAGUAAUGCUGGUUAGCUGUUAAGAUGCGGUGCAGUGCAGUGGUGACAUGGUGUGGCGUGUUGCGGUGCUGAGUGCCCGGUCACUGUUCCGGGGCGCUCGACCCUCCGCUGCUGUUUGCCGGUUUGUAAGCUCACAGGUGUUGCAGAUCAUCCACCCCCCUCUUGUCCCUAUGCCCUCUUUGAUGUCCCUUCUGUGUGCUCUAAAGCUCUUUGUCCAUCCUUUCUUUCCUCCUCCUAUGUCUGGUUCAUCACUUGCUUUUUUUUUUUUUGUGGGGGAAGUGGGUCCAGUGUGGCUCACAUUGCAGGGUUGAUGAUGAAAAACCAGGGGGCCGCAGCUCUGGCUGCCUCGUUUAUUUGUGCCAGCAUUCCCCGUUGACCUCUCUGUUCUCUUACAUUUUCUUCAGGUGAAUAAAUGUAUUUGUUGAAAGUGG